AACCCAGCAGCGCGCUGGGCUGCACUGUCUCCGUCUGCGGCCUGCAGUACGGGGGUA
rnacentral:miRNA from 1 species